ACAAUGAAACAUUAUUCAUUGACAAAAAGAAAUGAGCUAUCAAGGCACAAACUACAUCGAUGAAUCUUAAAUGCAUGUUGUUAAAUGACAGAAGCCAGCCUGAAAAGGUGCUGUAGCAGUCAAGAUAAGCUAAGAGUGAGAAUGGGGAACAAGGCUAUAAACAAUCUGAGGACACAACGAAGUUAUAUUAAGCUUUGCAUCCAUCAAUGUACCUACUAGAGGUUGUUGGAAUCACAUUUGUGGGAAGAGUAAAGAGCAAAAGUUUCCUGUAAUGUAUUAAC